AGUUUGAUCCUGGCUCAGGACGAACGCUGGCGGCGUGCUUAACACAUGCAAGUCGAGCGGUAAGGCCCUUCGGGGUACACGAGCGGCGAACGGGUGAGUAACACGUGGGUGAUCUGCCCUGCACUUCGGGAUAAGCCUGGGAAACUGGGUCUAAUACCGGAUACGACCUUGGGAUGCAUGUCCUGGGGUGGAAAGGUUUACUGGUGCAGGAUGGGCCCGCGGCCUAUCAGCUUGUUGGUGGGGUAAUGGCCUACCAAGGCGACGACGGGUAGCCGACCUGAGAGGGUGACCGGCCACACUGGGACUGAGACACGGCCCAGACUCCUACGGGAGGCAGCAGUGGGGAAUAUUGCACAAUGGGCGAAAGCCUGAUGCAGCGACGCCGCGUGAGGGAUGACGGCCUUCGGGUUGUAAACCUCUUUCAGCAGGGACGAAG
rnacentral:rRNA from 1 species